UCUUCACUGUGAUGCAGUUAUAAGGACUCCACAUGAGACUGUCAGUGGAGAUUAAAGAGCAUCAGGAGCUCACGUCCUCUCAGAGUCAUCAUCAACAUGUUCCCUGUAGCUCUGCUGCUGCUGCUGGCAGCUGGAAAUGUGAGGUGUGAACAGUUGACACAGCCAGCCUCUGUGACUGUGCAGCCAGGUCAACGCCUGACCAUCACCUGUCAGGUCUCUUAUUCUGUUAGCAGCUACUACACAGCCUGGAUCAGACAGCCUGCAGGGAAAGGACUGGAGUGGAUUGGAAUGGUAGCUGGAUCCACCACAUUCUAUAAAGAUUCACUGAAGAGCAAGUUCAGUAUGAGCUCAGACUCUUCCAGCAACACGGUGACUCUGAACGGACAGAGCGUGCAGCCUGGAGACUCUGCUGUGUAUUACUGUGCCAGAGACACACUGUGACACAAACCAUCAGUAGAGCUGAACAA